UGAACCCUUUUCGUGAUGGGAAUUGGGGGUUGCAAUUGUCCCCCAUGAACGAGGAAUUCCAAGUAAGCGCAGGUCACUAGCCUGCGUUGAUUAAGUCCCUGCCCUUUGUACACACCGCCCGUCGCUACUACCGAUGGAUGAUUUGGUGAGGUCGCCUAGACUGGCCGCUGGCUUCGGCCGGUGCGGCCGGGAAGACGCCCAAACCUGGGUCGUCUAGAGGAAGUAAAAGUCGUAACAAGGUUUCCGUAGGUGAACCUGCGGAAGGAUCAUUCCCAGUCUUAU
rnacentral:rRNA from 1 species